UUGUGUUUGUACUUACAAACUUUUAUAUUGCCAAUCUGAUGGAAGCACCACAGAGUUUUUCCUGAUCUUUCUGUAGAAAACAUCCUGAAUGUUCUCUGAAGAUUAAUAUUAUCCCUCAUUUGCAGAACCAUUAAAAACUUGUAAUCAAGCAAAUGAGAACGUAAAUCUGUACAUUUUGGACAGAUUUUCUACAAUCAUUCCCAAACAUAAUUUUUUAAGUGAUAGGAUCACAUUUCAUCUGAAUAUCAAGAAGUUGAAAUCUACAGCUGAAUGCAUCUCUUGUCAGAGCUCAGCACUGCCCCUCCGCUCCCUUCAUGAGGAGCUAUAGGCUGCCAUGAGGCCUCCCCUGAGCUAGACAAAGAAAGCUUCAACAAUGAAGAAUUCAUUGAUUUCCCAAAGGGCAGGAGGUUGUAUAUUACACCAAACCAAUCCUGCUGUACCCCUCCACUGAAGUACAAGAGAUGAAGAGCUAAAAGUGACUAAAAUAAAAAAAGAGGUUAUCAAAUGACAGAGUGAGACCCUAUAAUGAGGGUCAUGGGUUGCCCCAUUUAAAGACAGAAGGAACACUAUUCCAACGGGUGCUAGAAGAAAUCCAUAGCAAUCCAUUUCUUUUGGAAGAUCAGAGCACUCUUGUACGCUGAAGAAACUAGACAUGUCCUUUUUUCCAUAUCACUAGGAAAGCUCUUGUAACUCUAGCAAACCGCUACUGAGCGCAGAAACACAUUCAAAUGGAAUGUUUCCAUUGCUGUUCCAUAUUUACUGGACAUAAUCAUUUGUUUUAUAUAGAGUACUAUAUUUUGAGCAUAUAGGUAGCAAAUAAUACUGCAAGCUUCUAAAAUCUAGAAAAAACAGAAUGAACACUGCUUAAGUAUUCUCAGAGCAAAGCGUACCUUCUUUCAAAAAUUUCUUUAUCUAAAUUCAUUUAUUCUACAUCAUUUCCCUCUCCAAAGAACACUGGACAGAAACUUUCAGAACUUUUUUUCAACACAAUAUAGCACAAAAAUACUAGGCUGCUCUGAAGAAUUAAAAGGAUUAUUACUAAAAAAAAAAAGUAUACAAUUGGAUAGCUAACCGAACAUUUAUUCAAAAUGAAAGGUUUUAAUCUGUCAGUGAAGUUGAGUUGAACUUAUCUCGAUAACCAGCCAAAACCUACAGUAUUUCAGCAUAACACAAGCAUUGAUGCUACCAGACAGCCACCUUGAAGCCUACAGUAUAAACAGACAUUCACUCUGUAUACUGAAAAUGUGCUGGUUGGUAUUGUAAAAUCAUACAGCUGUUUUGAGCAAGCAUCUUAGAAUUCCUCCUGUGUCAAACCAUCACCAGCUGCAGCCAAUCUGCUCUAUAAUGAGAGCAAAUAUAUGUUUAAUUUGUUGUGUAUAGAAGAAAAUAUGGUGCAGUGGGGGAGGAGGAGCAGAAAUGAUAAAAGCAUGCCAUCCAACUGGAAUUAGUGAUCUAACAGCCUUUGUAUCAUUGUAACACGCUAGCCUAGGUUGUUCAAACUCUAAGACUGCCUCCCUGCUGUUCUAGAUACUUAAGUAGCAGAACACAAUCUUUCUUCCCAUCUUUCGAGGAUAUUUGCUAUAUGAUUUUUCUUCCAAUCCUAAAAGCAAGAUAGAAAGACAUUAUUUAACUGAGUGUAAACAAACAGAAGACCUGUUAUUAUCAAGAUAUUUCUAACUGUACUUCACCGAUUUCAAAGUGUGACAAAGUUAAUUUGUUCUAUUCUUCAAAUGUGGAAAUAUCAAAAGUAACGUUACGAGGAAGUUGAAAAAGUUGCACAUGCACGAGUCCUCACUAGUUAAGUCAGAAUUCUCUCUUUAUCUUCACACAUUUUCUUUGAUUAAAAUAACAACCCUAUGUAACUCCACUGAGGCCUGAGUAGAAAGUGCUCCUCGAUGACUAAUAUUUACAAACAUGUCUUCCCUACAGGCAAACUUAUAGUUAAUUGCUACUAAAUAACUAAGAUACCCCAGUGAUCUGAGUUAGGAAUACUAAACGUAAAACUGCAAGUUCAAAAUUAAGAUAGGUGGUUAUGUGCUACUAAUGUUAAACGUUCCUGAGAAGUGGCAUUCCUUGUCUUUUUCCAUUCCCUUUUAAUUCCUGAUGAACGUACAUCAGUGACUCACAACGUGCCACAAAAGUGUUCUACUGAGAGAGCAUAAUAAAAAGAUUGUACCUAAAAAACUAAAUGUAGUUUUUCAAACUUAUCUUGUCUAGACCUUACAAGCAGAACAAAGAAUAUCGCGACUAAAGCUUCACUCAUUUCCAGCAAGUACAGCUAUGUUUUCCUCAAAGCAGAAAAGUGCAAAAGGCAGAAAAGAAGGCAGUCUAAUUUUUUGUAUGUUGAUGUUAUGUCAAGGCAGAACAAUGAAAAAAUACAGUUUAACACCAUAUCCGUAAUUACAAAAAGCUAUUGGGUUUUGAGAUCUUUUGCAUGAGAACUGGCUUCAGUGUGUCAGAGUGUACAGCUAAACCUCUCAAAUCCUUCCCGUCCUUCAACCUACUGUCAGCUUUCAGAACAUCACAGCUCUGGAAUUCUUUCUAAGAUUUUCCUGCAGGGUUUCAAUAGGGAAUACUAAUCCAGUGGUAACAAGAAUCUGGGUCUCCCGAUCACGUGACCGCUGAAGUACAAGGCAGCUUCAACCAGGGAAACUCCACAGUAGCAGCAAGUCCUGGUGAAGAACACCCCCUCGAACCAACAUUUCAUGAGUAGAUUGACAAUGCUAGUAAAGUACUCUCAGGGUUUAUGCAAUUUUUUUUCUAUAGUGAAAUAAAAAUUCAAAGUUCAAAUUUUUAAAAUAAGAGUAUGAUGAAAAUACAGUAAGACAGUAGUAAAGCUCUGGAAUGAAAAAUUAGAAAGAAUACCUCAGAAUUAUUCCUUUAGAUUUAAGUCACUACUAGGCCCUCACGCUUUCUGAAAUUACUUCACCAAACCUCCUGCCUUGCUCUCUGUGGGAAUACAAGAAAGACUAUUCAGAACAGCACCUGUAGAGCAAGAUAAAUGAAAGCAAUGCUGAGAACCAAGGAAGAAGAGAAAAGCAAGUCAAUUAAUGUUGACAGAAAUGAGAAAACCCAAGACAACCUACAUGAAUGAAACCUGAACUGAAAUAAAUAUUAACAGUGAUAUCAUCAAUAGGAAUCAAGCUUCUCCAGGAAGGAUACUCCAACAAACUAGAUUUCAUAUCACUUCUGACACUUGAUGUACUGCCUCCAAAAGGCAGUAUUCAUGGAAAUACAAGCUAUCUUUCUUACCAUGGGAAUGUUCCCUAAGUAUCUGCAUCAAUAUCUGUAAACUUUUGAGACCUGGAGAAAUAAAUACAGCAGUGUUGUAUUCUGACUUCUGCUUCAGUGAAGAUCUAACUGAAUUUCUUGAGGAGAUGAUUUUUAUGGACUACCAAAGGAGGCCUUGGAGAGUGCUGUUGUGGAUGGCAAUGAGUGUGACUCAUCUGGCUAUAGAGCUGGAAAUGGAAAUGUAAUAUUAAAGAAAAUAAAUAACAAGACUGAAAAGAGAAUUAAAUGAGGAAAUGAGGCAUGAAUGCGUGAGACAGAGUUCUACCCUGGUUGUUUGUUUGUUUUGCCUUACCUGAUGUUCCAGGCAGCAUUAUACAGCAACUUUGCCCCACAUUCUUCCCUCCCUUCCUUUCUCGGGACUGUUUGCCCUUACUGUGUUCUGCCUGCUUCGCUGGAGGACUGUGUCUGUAUCGUGGCUGCAUUCAUUCAAGCUGGAAAUCAGAAGAAGGUAAAUACUGAAGAGACACUGCAGGAAACUGUCUUUCCAAGGAGCUGAACUUUCUGCUCACUCAUUGCUCAUGGAGAGCUCUGCUGACUCCUAUCACAACCCCCACUGGCAGCUGUUCCCCAGAGGUAACCAAACAGGCGCAGCUCGGGAAAUUCCUAUAAUUGAAUUAUUUUUCAGGUGCUGAAAACAUUCAUUUUAUUGCCAAAGUUCUUACGAAAAAGAAGAGAAAGUAAUAUAGAGAAAAAGAGCUUGAAGAAGAGGGACUGAAUUUUACUCUCAGAGUUAAUGCUAACAUGUAAUCAAAAAUGUUCAUAGUAGUCAAUCACAUUGCAACCUUUCCCACGUCUUAAAAAUGUACUUGAUUAUUUACCAGAGGAACAUAGUAAUUUUCAUGAUGUACUACUGUUUUAUGAUGUUACAUUAGCAAAUCAAACAGUAGGCCAGGGGAUGCAGGUGUCUUUCAAUUGUUGACAUUCUUUCACAAUUAGUACCACAACAAACAAUGAUAUGCAGAGUUAAAAAACACUCAUGAUUUCCUGCAGGUGAUAUUUAUUUAUCAAGAUACUAAUUUAGGUAUGAUUUUGGUGGCAUGAAUACCUCAGCUGCCUGACACAACAUGACUGUAUUAAUAAAGGAUUUGAAACAUAAGUUAUGUUUUCACAGUAUCAAAUCUGUACAGAAUCAGGAAAAAUAAAAAGUAAUUACACUCAAGAAACUCCAAAUAGUAGUGUGAUAUUCCAGUAAUCUCUUUCUCUCUGAGAAUCGCAUGUCAUAAAUAUGUCCUCAGUCAUCAGAGAAAAAUCAUUUUUUCUCUUCUCCCCUCUACUGCUGCUCAUAAAACAGAGGAGCUGUGCCUCUGUAAUUAGCUUGGAAAGUAGCUCCUCCUCUUCCUCCCACCACAUGCUUUGGCUUGAGAACAAUAGCG
ensembl:lncRNA